UGUUCUUUGCUUAGCUUUGAUAUAUAUGUUGAUCUAUAUCAGUUGCUUAAAAUUGCCUAUUUUCAAUUGUUUUUUGCAGGUAAUCAGUGGCAUUAAGAAGGGGAGCAACUGUGGUUCUGUUUUGGUGCACUCGAGAAGCAUUUCUCCUACCUAGAUCCCGGGUGCUUUGCAGUUUUUGCAGCUUGGAGAAAGCAGCGUUGCAUGCUUCGGGUGUACUGCGCAGGAUAGGGAAGCACUUAUUCUUGAGGGACAACAACAAUGAAAAACCUCCUCUUCUGUUGCUCCAGAUGACCGAAGAUUUUGAUGAGCUUAAGUUCAUGUGAAGUUCCUUUGAGAUGGUGGUGUGGUAAGUUAGGUGGUGUUGUGGCUCCGUUGAGAUUACAGUGGUGUUACACCAUGAAUAGAAAUUCGGUGAAAAUCCCCUUUUUUUUUUUUUUUUUUUGAGUUGGGCUCAAAACAUUAUGUAUGAAGAUUUUGGAUGAUAAUGUAUGAUUAUUGUGUGAUUAUAAUAUUUUGAAUGUUAUAUAUUA